GAAGGGUCUCUACCUGGGGAUUCUCUCUUUUGGAGCAUUUGGCAAGCUGUGAUCUUUGGGACAGGAAUAAAGCAGGACGUGGCUGUGUACACAGAGGCAGCACAAAGCACUGCUCACCACCAGCAGCCCCACUCCCAGCUCUGGGCACUGGUCCCACCUCCUCCAUGUGGCAGCUCUGCGAUCCCGGAGCAGCGCUCGACACUAAGUGUGAGGUGAUCUUUAAAGUGAAAACCUGCUGACAAACAAGGCUCCCGGAGGGGUGCUGCUCUCAGACCACCCUUGGUUCAGCUCACAGGACUGCUUUCUGCUGAUGUGACCGUGGGUGAGGCUCAGCCCUGACGUGCAGGCAUUGCAGCAGCGCUGAGGACAGGAGAGAUGCAGUCGCCACCAGAGGGCACAAACCUGAGAUUUUCCCGGUUAGAAUAACCUGGCAAUAUUAACUAGCUCCAUUCGUCCCUUGCUACGUGAAUGUGCUCUUCUUUUGUUUAUUUCCCUUCGGGGUGCCUGUAUAUCCCUUUGCACUCCAGCAAACAAGGCUGAAGUCUUCUGGUAAGCGAGUUCUUGGGUUGCAGAACAAACCCGUGUGGUGCUGCCUUUUUAUCCCUGUAGUGUUUCCAAGUGCUCAGCACUGAAAUGCAGCUGUGGAUCAGCUCAGCUUUGUAAUGCUUUGACUGCCAAAGUGAGGAAUCCACCCAGAAUCCAGAAGGCAUUAAAAAAAAAAAUAUUUAAGAAAAAAAUAUGAGUGAAGGAGGCAGAAAAGGAUAGAAAUGUUAGAGUUUGGGGGCAGAAAUCAGACCUCAGCUGAGUGUCAGGAGGCCAACGCACCUUGAAUUCAUUUCAAAGCUUCCUGCUUAAAGGAAAAAGGGCAGCGUUGCUCUUAAGAGCUACAGAUGUGGUAGGAAGGAGGUCAGACUGAAGGGGAUGUUGGUUUAAUCUAAUUCACAACAGAUAAUCCCUCGGCACGCACUUGUGCAAAAUGGUGUGGGAGGAGGAAGGGCUGAGGAGCACACAGCGUUGGCAGUGGGGUCAAAGGCAGCCCCCUCCAAAGACAGGGGGAGAGGAGGGAUCCCGUAGAUGGCAGUGCCAGAAACAGAUGGGGUGUCUCAGAGCUAUUAAUGACAAAAUCUGGCUGAGGACAGAAAAACUUCCAGCUUACAGUGGCUGGCCUCAAGCAGUAACCUACUAAAAAUGGUACGUUACAGUUUAAUGAUAAUUCAGAAAGCUUGCUGACGUCGUGAAGCCAGAGGGAAUGUGUCUGACCAAAGGGACAGGAUCAGGGCACCAAGCACCCCAUGUUAUGUGCUGCAGGAGGGUUGGCUGUAGGAAAUGGUCCAGGUGAGGGAAGAGGGUCAUGAUCCACGGCUCUAGGAUUAGGGCAGCGGGGACCCUCCAGCAUAGCAGCUUGUGCCCAUAGGGCCACAUAAGACAUUCAUCUGCUUACCCGUUGCCCUUUCUGUCUGCAGUGAUGACUUUUGAGGGUGCUCUGAUAACCAUGCAGCGAUGUGAAAUGUCACCCACUUGGUCACAGACGCGUGUUGUUGACUCAGCUGUGUUUCAGCUCUGCCACUGGCUUCCCCACCCCUUGAAUAUACGUAUUUUUGUUCAUUUAGAGAGUAAGAGGAAGGCAGAAAGAUAAUGCUGCAAAAAAGGGCUGUGUUGCAAAUGUGUGAUUAUGAAAAUACUUCCUCCUGAAGCGCUCUGCUGCCCUUAUCUGCCAGCGCUCAUCUGAGAUCCGCUAGUCCCAGCACCUGCCUCUGCAAGGACAGGCCAGCAUCGCGGUUGGUUCUGUUCUGCCUGGCUGACCUUUGCCUAGGCUGGCACAGAUGCAUUUUGCACAGCAGCCUCUGCUUUGCUUGCAGUAGUUCUGCAGAAAGCUCUCCCUCUGCACAGGCUGCAGAGCUGUAAGGGAGGCCAGCUGCCUCUGCUGACCGCCUGUGGGUUUUCCUCACUGCAGUUCUAUCCAACGUUUCUGUUGUGUUGCUUUGCUUGUUUGACCUCCUCCUCUUGCAGAGGCUCUUUCCUACUAAAUUCAACUCCCUAACCUUUGCUAGGGAACGCGUCUAUGUGUGCUGUGUCUGAGGCAGUGAAUUCAGAAUGCCCUCCCAGAAAAGCUCUGGCUUGGAGAUGAGCAGUUUCUCCUGCUGCAGAGUGCAGGCAGACAAGCUGCUCUCCCUAUUUACUCUCUCCAGCCCCCAGAGCAGAUCUCUGAAGGAAUCUAGCAGGGCAGACGGCUCUGCCACCCACCCUUGUUAACUUGUUGGCUUCAUGAAUUGAUGUUGCCUUGGAAAGCUGCACAAUGGAGCUCUGUUGGGUUUGACUGCGGCUCCCUCCUCAUUGCCUUUCUACUCCCAGGACCCCAAAGGGUGUCAGAAGCACAAGGCUGGGCCCCACACACUUUUAUUCAUGAGCAAUUUCAGAAGGUGCCUAUCUCAUCCACGGGGACAAUAAACUCCCUUUUCAAAUUAAUUUUCCGCGCAAGGAGGAAAUACUGCAUAAAGCAAACAAAAGGCAAGGUAUAUUUUUAUCAUGGGACCUGAAGCUGAGAAAUGUUCUUUUUAAUUUACUGCUAGGAAUGCUGCUGAUGACUGAUAGCUCCUGGUUAGGGCAGGCACUGAAUCUCUCCCAAGUGGCAUUUUUUAUAGUCAGGACCUGGAGAGGACCCUUCCUCUGGCUGCUCCUGCUCUGAGGCCCUGCUAGGAUCCGCUUCUAAGAAGCUGAGUGCUCAAAACCCAUCCCAGCUAUGCUUGGCCACUUUGAGAAUUGGCCUGAUUUUCCCAGCUGCAACUCAGAUCCUGAGAAAAAAUCAGGUCGUUUAACUAGGUGACUAACUGUGGCUUAGGUGCUCAGAUUUACCCAUGCUGGGUGGCAAGUGCUGGCUGCAGCACUGCAGUUAGGGAUAAGAAGUGGUGUUGUGACACGAGAAAAGAAAAAAGCCAGAAAAUAACUUGUUUUUCAGUGUCCAUCCAACUGCCAUCACACUGUGACCGUUUCUGGUCAUGCCAACACUGCAGCUGGAUUCAGAAAGGGUGAGAAGCCUUGUGCAGCAUUAGUAGCCGCUCAGUCCUCCAUAUCUCAGCUGCUGCUGCCUCUGGAGACGAAGUACAGGAUGCUCAAUCAGCAAUGCACAGUAGCACCAGACAGCAAAUAGAAGAGAAAGGGAGGGAGAUGCUACAUCCAACUGCAGGUGUGCAGAGGGGGGAUGCCAACAGCAGCACCUUCCAAGAGCGCUGCAGGGAUUUUAGCUACUACAGGAAUCAGGUAUUUUUAUUGUUCAACCUCACUCUUCAGUGUCAAGUUGUAAGGAAAGUUUCCCUCUGGUUGAAUGGCACUGAGGUACUGUUAGGAAGAGUCCCAGCUAAACAAUUGGUCCCUUAGCCUGAGUCAUAUAUAGUAUCUACUCUGGAAUGCAUAUUAAUGUGUAAGUGGUGCCCAUUUUAAUCCCAGCCCACUUAAUGGGAGAGUGCAGAGCUCUGCACACAACAGAAUUUAACUCAUUAUUGUUGAAGGAUUUUUGGCUUCCUGCAAUUUCAGGGUAGGAAAAAAAAGAGCAAUGGAGUAAUGUCAAUUCAGCUAGGAAAUAUAUAUCAAUAAACAUAAAGUAUAAUGGCAAAAUCCCAUUUACUUCAGAGGAAAUGGCUGUAAUGGGGAAUGAUGCAUUAACCAUAAAGAGAGCCUUUGGUCUCAGUAGCACCACACAGAAAUCCUUUGUAAUUGCUCAGCUUUCUUAUUCCAGUCCAAUUUCAAAAAGGAGGGUGGCAUUGCUGCCAGCAGUGCCUCGCACACAGGCUAACGAGCAGCAAAGUUAAUGCAAAUUGCACAAGAGAGGGACAGAGGGACUGGGUGAACUAUUAAGAGGUAUUUAAAUGCACGGGUUCCAUUUUCUCCCUACAGUUGAGAUGCAGAGAGCAGCGGACGCACGGCCGUGCUGGGGGUGCACACAGUGCUGGGGGCAGG